rnacentral:lncRNA from 1 species
AAAUAAUGAAAGUAAAAUAAAUAAAUAAAAUAAAAACACUUAAGCUACCUCCCAAAAAGUGCUUAUUUAAAGUCUAGGCUAAACUUCCCUUUUUAAGCUAACAGUUAUGGCGGAUCUUGGAGUCGAAGGUCCUCUCUCUCGUUGUCAGUAUUACCACCAAAAUAAAGUUUGAGACUAAGAAUGUUUACGUUGAAUGUGACAUAAUUAGGGUGUGUUACCUCAAUGGUUCCAUAUGGAAAUACAUUUUGUACCAUAAAUGGGUUCGACCCUUUUGAC